rnacentral:rRNA from 1 species
GAUGAACGCUAGCUACAGGCUUAACACAUGCAAGUCGAGGGGUAGCAGUGUAGCAAUACCGCUGACGACCGGCGCACGGGUGAGUAACACGUAUCCAACCUUCCCAUAACUCGGGGAUAGCCUUUCGAAAGAAAGAUUAAUACCCGAUAGUACUUUUUCAAGGCAUCUUGAAAAAGUUAAAGAUUUAUUGGUUAUGGAUGGGGAUGCGUUCCAUUAGAUAGUUGGUGAGGUAACGGCUCACCAAGUCUUCGAUGGAUAGGGGUUCUGAGAGGAAGGUCCCCCACAUUGGUACUGAGACACGGACCAAACUCCUACGGGAGGCAGCAGUGAGGAAUAUUGGUCAAUGGGCGAGAGCCUGAACCAGCCAAGUAGCGUGAAGGAUGAAGGUCCUAUGGAUUGUAAACUUCUUUUAUAGUAGAAUAAAGUGAGCCACGUGUGGUUUUUUGUAUGUAUACUAUGAAUAAGGAUCGGCUAACUCCGUGCCAGCCGCCGCCGUAA